rnacentral:misc_RNA from 1 species
AAAAAAAAAAAAAAAGGGAAAAUUUUCCAAAUAUGUAGCAUGCAAUCUGAGAACUCUUGAGAAGCAGUCUUUGCCCUUACCAAUUUUCUUGGGAAGGAAAGUCCGGUAAAUUUUAGGCAGCAAACCACCAGUGGCUGUGGUAAUAGAGACCAGAAGCUUUCUCCUUAUCAUUCCUUAUAGCAAGCUGAACCACACCACUGAAGAGAUUAUUACGAGUGAAAGAGAAGGAAAGAAAAUUUGAGAUGCUUUAUUCAAGUUGGGGAGAGAAGAAAGCCAGCUGAGCAGGCAAUGAGUAUGUAGUGGCUGAACCUAGCAACCUCAAUUGGCUCGAUGAGGGUGGUGUGGGAGCAGUCAAAGUAGUAGUGCAGAGGUUGGAGUGAGCAGAAGAACAUGCAGUUAUUUACAAUGACUGUUCUAGCGGUGGGGGAAAGCGUAUGAGGCAGAGCUGCAGUGGUGCCAGGGAGACGAUAUCAUUUCUACUUUGAUGAUGAGAACGCCGAGGCCAUGAUGAAAACACAAAGUGGGAUGAGGAAAGAAAUGGGAGAGAACAAGAGAGUGGUUUGAGGGCUUUGGAAGAGGCCAUGUUCAUGGUGAGGGGGAGAGGUGAGAGAGAAGGGGAUAAAGGAGGGGAAGGGAAGGGGAUGGGAGAGGGACCUGGUAGGUUAGGUGAGGGGUAAACAUAUCAAUUCUAAUUUUUUUUUUUUCAAAUUACCUGUCACGUUGGCAAAUUAAUCAACAAACUAGCAAUAAUAAGUUGAAAGGGUUUCAUAUUACUCAAAUUAAAAUUCAUAGGGUUUUGUCUCACAAAUUGAAUGAUGAUAUUGUUAUAACACUCUAAGUUUAGGGACAACAGGUGCAAUUUACUCAUAUUUGGAUUUUGGAUAAAAAUAGUUGUCUGCUUCUCCUUGGUUGAGCUGAAAUAGAUGAUAUGAGCAUUUCCCUUUUAUACCUACAAAUGUGCAUAGCUUUUCAAUGCCUAUUUAUUUUGCUCUCUUAUCUCAAGGGAGUAUGAUUUAUUGCCAAUUCCAGCCAAAUGCAUACACUGGCACUUGAACUGUACCUGAAAAGUCUAGAAGCAUUUUUAUUAUGUUCUAUUUGGUCCUUAUACUUUUAUUUUUUGAAUCAAUAGGCCAUUAGUUGAACAAAUUUUUGGUUCAUUUACCAUAGGCAUAUUGACACAACAAAAAUGUUGAUAUCACUCUUUUUAUUUGUUGACUUUUUAACUUAUUUUUCAACAUAUCUUUCACAUUUAUAUUGUUUUCAAAUGAAAAUUUUUAAUUAAAUUAAUAUUGUUAAAAGACUAUGUCAAUAUUUUUAGAGUCGUUUUUACUUAUUUUACCUGUGUGUUGACAUGAUUCAUUGACCAAAUAAAUUUACAUUUAAUAUAUAUAAAAAUAGAAGUUAAAGUGUUUGAUAGGCUGAAAUAAAAGUUUUGAGUGCCACCAGACUUUUCAGUGAAAGUACAUAGUGUAAUUUAUCAUACUUGGCCAAUUGCUGAAUAUGUAUAUAUUAAUGUUACUGAUUCAGGAAUGGCCAGCAGAAGAGUACCCACCCUAUGCAAA